rnacentral:rRNA from 1 species
CCUACGGGAGGCAGCAGUGGGGAAUAUUGCACAAUGGGGGAAACCCUGAUGCAGCGACGCCGCGUGAGUGAAGAAGUAUUUCGGUACGUAAAGCUCUAUCAGCAGGGAAGAAAAAAAGUCCUUUGGACUUUGGACGGUACCUGACUAAGAAGCCCCGGCUAACUACGUGCAAGCAGCCGCGGUAAUACGUAGGGGGGAAGCGUUAUACGGAUUUACUGGGUGUAAAGGGAGCGUAGACGGCAGCGCAAGGCUGGAGUGAAAUGCCGGGGCCCAACCCCGGAACUGCUUUGGAAACUGUGCAGCUGGAGUGCAGGAGAGGUAAGCGGAAUUCCUAGUGUAGCGGUGAAAUGCGUAGAUAUUAGGAGGAACACCAGUGGCGAAGGCGGCUUACUGGACUGUAACUGACGUUGAGGCUCGAAAGCGUGGGGAGCAAACAGGAUUAGAUACCCGAGUAGUC